rnacentral:siRNA from 1 species
UGGUCUGAAAAUUUUGAUGCAG